GAUGAAGAACGCAGCGAAAUGCGAUAAGUAGUGUGAAUUGCAGAAUUCCGUGAAUCAUCGAAUCUUUGAACGCACAUUGCGCCUUCUGGUAUUCCGGAAGGCAUGCCUGUUCGAGAGUCAUUAACAACCGUUUCGAUCCCUUUCUUUCAGAAAUUACAAAGAGGAAAAGGGUUUGGUUAUGGUGGAGGAGGGAAAGGGAGCGUUUAGCCUGUAAAAAAAGAGGCUGUGUUCUGCCUCCCCCCCAAAAUUGUACAGGCGGUCGUGUGCGCCCACGCAUCGAGGUGUUGUAAAAGCUGCCACGGCACUUUUCACCUGUGCAGUGCGAGAUUGGCCAGCCGGUUUAAAAACCCCUCCAAACAAUCAAAGGUUGACCUCGGAUCAGGUAGGGAUACCCGCUGAACUUAAGCAUAUCAAUAAGCGGAGGA
rnacentral:misc_RNA from 1 species